AUCCGGCUGACGAGUCCCAAAUAGGACGAAACGCGCGUCCUGGAU
rfam:Schistosoma curassoni strain Dakar, Senegal genome assembly, scaffold: SCTD_contig0008984